rnacentral:rRNA from 1 species
ACACAUGCAGUCGAGCGAGACCUUCGGGUCUAGCGGCGGACGGGUUAGUAAUGCGUGGGAACGUGCCCUUCUCUACGGAAUAGUCUCGGGAAACUGGGUUUAAUACCGUAUACGCCCUUUUGGGGAAAGAUUUAUCGGAGAAGGAUCGGCCCGCGUUAGAUUAGUUAGUUGGUGGGGUAACGGCCUACCAAGACGACGAUCUAUAGCUGGUUUGAGAGGAUGAUCAGCAACACUGGGACUGAGACACGGCCCAGACUCCUACGGGAGGCAGCAGUGGGGAAUCUUAGACAAUGGGGGCAACCCUGAUCUAGCCAUGCCGCGUGAGUGAAGAAGGCCCUAGGGUCGUAAAGCUCUUUCGCCAGAGAUGAUAAUGACAGUAUCUGGUAAAGAAACCCCGGCUAACUCCGUGCCAGCAGCCGCGGUAAUACGGAGGGGGUUAGCGUUGUUCGGAAUUACUGGGCGUAAAGCGCGCGUAGGCGGAUUAGUCAGUCAGAGGUGAAAUCCCAGGGCUCAACCCUGGAACUGCCUUUGAUACUGCUAGUCUUGAGUUCGAGAGAGGUGAGUGGAAUUCCGAGUGUAGAGGUGAAAUUCGUAGAUAUUCGGAGGAACACCAGUGGCGAAGGCGGCUCACUGGCUCGAUACUGACGCUGAGGUGCGAAAGUGUGGGGAGCAAACAGGAUUAGAUACCCUGGUAGUCCACACCGUAAACGAUGAAUGCCAGACGCCAGAGGGCUUGCCCUUUGGUGUCACACCUAACGGAUU